AGGAGUGUGAGUGGAAGAAGCAAGGAAGGGAAUAAGAUCUGAGCUAGCCAUAGCCUGGCCUCCCAGUUCUCAGCAACAGCUGUGGCUGAAGCUCCUGCACCACCCCAAGGCUCUGGCUCCUUGGGCCUCGCUGGCCAGGUCUAUGGACCCCCAGGCCUCCCAGGACCGGGUGCGCCCCGCCACCUCCCUCUCUCUGCUCCUGGCCAGGCAGCGCAGGGUGGGACUGGGGGGCCCCAGGGUCUCAGCAGUGGACACAACGUUCUGGUUCAGUGGAAGGACCUUAAACCCCGUGACAAGGACACGGCAGUAAAGGCUGAUGUGGCCAAACCCCUGGUUCUGCGGCGAGCAGACCCCAGGUUCUGGACUCAUCCUGGCGGAGUGGAGGACAUCACUCGGAGGGCUGACUGCUCCACGAUAUAAAAAAAUGACAAGUCUCGGCUUAAUCUUUCUGAUAACUGUGUUCCGCGCCCCCAUCCAUCUCCACCCAGGGGUCUGGGCGAAGCUGGAAGACAAGAGCAUUCCAGCAUUUAAGAAUGAAAAAUUCAGUGCCCUUUCUAAGCGCAGCAUGGCACUCCCUGGCUUGGUGCCGUUCUGGAUGUGGGGGUGUUGGCAGGGAUGGGGGGCAAGGUGGAGUGGAGUGAAGACCAGUCAGGUUCUUGAGGGUCUGUGGCGAUGUUGUAUGUGAGUCUUUGGACCUGGUAGUGAGCAUCUAACACGGGACCGUGGAAAGAGUCCUUUGCUCCAGAUUCACUGGAUUCCCAGCUCUACUUUAACCACUUACGUAGCCUCUUGUGACUCAUUCCCUCUCUCUGGAGAGCAGCCACCUGUCUCCUCUCCGAGCCCCAGAAAUAGACAGAUGCAGAGGAAGACUUCAGAAGAGGCUAUAGAGGGCAAGAGCACAGGAUCUGGAGCCUUCAGACCUGGUCUUCUAUUCCAGCUUUACAUAGCAGUUGUUUCAUGGACCUUCUAAGGCUCAGUUAGCCUAUUUGUGAAAUGCAAGCAAAGGGGACAGUAGGCCUUUCCCCUUGGAUCAAAUAAGCCAUACCUAAUACAUGCUGAGCACUCAGUAAAGGCUGGUCGGUACAGGUGUCUUCAUACUCACGGCACCCACUCCAUGCCUUUAGAACCACACAGACACCCAAACAGAGCUUGCCUCCCUGCCGCUGCCUAAUCCUGUCUCAGCCACCUUAGUCUCUUCCUGUGGGAGUCCAACAAAGGGGACAAAUGGCCCUCUUGCAAAGGGAUGAGAC